UGGGGAAUUUUGGACAAUGGGCGAAAGCCUGAUCCAGCAAUGCCGCGUGUGUGAAGAAGGCCUUCGGGUUGUAAAGCACUUUUGUCCGGAAAGAAAUGGCUCUGGUUAAUACCUGGGGUCGAUGACGGUACCGGAAGAAUAAGGACCGGCUAACUACGUGCCAGCAGCCGCGGUAAUACGUAGGGUCCAAGCGUUAAUCGGAAUUACUGGGCGUAAAGCGUGCGCAGGCGGUUGUGCAAGACCGAUGUGAAAUCCCCGAGCUUAACUUGGGAAUUGCAUUGGUGACUGCACGGCUAGAGUGUGUCAGAGGGGGGUAGAAUUCCACGUGUAGCAGUGAAAUGCGUAGAGAUGUGGAGGAAUACCGAUGGCGAAGGCAGCCCCCUGGGAUAACACUGACGCUCAUGCACGAAAGCGUGGGGAGCAAACAGGAUUAGAUACCCUGGUAGUCCACGCCCUAAACGAUGUCAACUAGUUGUUGGGAUUCAUUUCCUUAGUAACGUAGCUAACGCGUGAAGUUGACCGCCUGGGGAGUACGGUCGCAAGAUUAAAAGC
rnacentral:rRNA from 1 species